AGCAUAAUGGUUAUGCAAAAGCCUUUCAAGCUUGAGGUUCUGAGGUUCAAUCCCCAG
rnacentral:tRNA from 1 species